rnacentral:rRNA from 1 species
CCUACGGGUGGCAGCAGUGAGGAAUAUUGGUCAAUGGUCGCAAGACUGAACCAGCCAAGUAGCGUGAAGGAUGACGGCCCUACGGGUUGUAAACUUCUUUUAUGCGGGGAUAAAAUGCGUCACGUGUGACGUUUUGUAUGUACCUUAUGAAUAAGGACCGGCUAAUUCCGUGCCAGCAGCCGCGGUACUACGGAGGGUCCGGGCGUUAUCCGGAUUUAUUGGGUUUAAAGGGAGCGUAGGUGGGAUGUUAAGUCAGGUGUGAAAGGCCGUGGCUCAACCGUGGAAUUGCGAUGCAAACUGGCAUGCUUGAGUGCAGUGGAGGUAGGCGGAAUUCGUGGUGUAGCGGUGAAAUGCUUAGAUAUCACGAAGAACUCCGAUUGCGAAGGCAGCUUACGGAAGUGCCACUGACGCUGAGGCUCGAAAGCGUGGGUAUCGAACAGGAUUAGAUACCCCAGUAGUC